rnacentral:rRNA from 1 species
GACGAAGGGGGCUAGCGUUGUUCGGAAUUACUGGGCGUAAAGCGAGUGUAGGUGGUUGUCACAGUCAGGUGUGAAAGCCUUGAGCUCAACUCAAGAAAUGCACUUGAUACUAGGCGACUAGAGGACCGGAGAGGAUAGUGGAAUUCCCAGUGUAGUGGUGAAAUACGUAGAGAUUGGGAAGAACACCAGUGGCGAAGGCGGCUAUCUGGACGGUUUCUGACACUAAGACUCGAAAAGCGUGGGGAGCAAACAGG